CCUACGGGAGGCAGCAGUGGGGAAUAUUGCGCAAUGGGGGAAACCCUGAUGCAGCAACGCCGCGUGAGUGAAGAAGUAUCUCGGUACGUAAAGCUCUAUCAUCAGGGAAGAAAAUGACGGUACCUGACGAAGAAGCCCCGGCUAACAACGUGCCAGCAGCAGCGGUGAUACUAAGGGGGCAGGCGGUAUCCGGAGUGAGGGGGGGAAAAGGGGGGGGAGACGGCAGCGCAAGACUGGAGUGAAAUGCCGGGGCCCAACCCCGGAACUGCUUUGGACACAGUGCAGCUUGAGUGCAGGAGAGGUAAGCGGAAGUCCUAGUGUAGCGGUGAAAUGCGUAGAUAUUAGGAGGAACACCAGUGGCGAAGGUGGCUUACUGGACUGUAACUGACGUUGAGGCUCGAAAGUGUGGGGAGCAAACAGGAUUAGAUACCCUGGUAGUC
rnacentral:rRNA from 1 species